rnacentral:rRNA from 1 species
UACGAAGGGGACUAGCGUUGUUCGGAAUUACUGGGCGUAAAGCGCACGUAGGCGGAUUUGUAAGUCAGGGGUGAAAUCCCGGGGCUCAACCUCGGAACUGCCUUUGAUACUGCAAAUCUCGAGUCCGAUAGAGGUGGGUGGAAUUCCUAGUGUAGAGGUGAAAUUCGUAGAUAUUAGGAAGAACACCAGUGGCGAAGGCGGCCCACUGGUCCGGUACUGACGCUGAGGUGCGAAAGCGUGGGGAGCAAACAGG